rnacentral:rRNA from 1 species
UACGUAGGGGGCAAGCGUUGUCCGGAUUUAUUGGGCGUAAAGGGCGUGUAGGCGGCCUGACAGAUCUGCUGUGAAAACUCGAGGCUCAACCUCGAGAUGUCGGCGGAAACCGUCUGGCUAGAGUCCGGAAGAGGAGAGUGGAAUUCCUGGUGUAGCGGUGAAAUGCGCAGAUAUCAGGAGGAACACCCGUGGCGAAAGCGGCUCUCUGGGACGGUACUGACGCUGAGACGCGAAAGCGUGGGGAGCAAACAGG